AUUGAACGCUGGCGGCAGGCCUAACACAUGCAAGUCGAGCGAAUGGAGGGAGCUUGCUCCUGGAUUCAGCGGCGGACGGGUGAGUAAUGCCUAGGAAUCUGCCUGGUCGUGGGGGAUAACGUCCGGAAACGGGCGCUAAUACCGCAUACGUCCUGAGGGAGAAAGUGGGGGAUCUUCGGACCUCACGCUAUCAGAUGAGCCUAGGGCGGAUUAGCUAGUUGGUGGGGUAAAGGCCUACCAAGGCGACGAUCCGAAACUGGUCUGAGAGGCUGAUCAGUCACACUGGAACUGAGACACGGUCCAGACUCCUACGGGAGGCAGCAGGGGGGAAUAUUGGACAAUGGGCGAAAGCCUGAUCCAGCCAUGCCGCGUGUGUGAAGAAGGUCUUCGGAUUGUAAAGCACUUGAAGUUGGGAGGAAGGGCAGUAAGUUAAUACCUUGCUGUUUUGACGUGACCAACAGAAUAAGCACCGGCUAACUUCGUG
rnacentral:rRNA from 1 species